UACGAAGGGGGCUAGCGUUGUUCGGAAUCACGGGGCGUAAAGCGCACGCGGGCGGAUCGAUCAGUCGGGGGUGAAAGCCCGGGGCUCAACCUCGGAAUUGCGUUCGAUACUGUCGGUCUCGAGUCCGGGAGAGGUGAGUGGAAUUCCUAGUGUAGAGGUGAAAUUCGUAGAUAUUAGGAAGAACACCAGUGGCGAAGGCGGCUCACUGGCCCGGUACUGACGCUCAGGUGCGAAAGCGUGUGGAGCAAACAGG
rnacentral:rRNA from 1 species